GCCUGUGUGGCUCAGUGGUUGAGCAUCUGCCUUUGGCUCAGGUCGUGAUCCUGGGGUCCUGGGAUCGAGUCCCACAUCAGGCU
rnacentral:tRNA from 1 species